AGAGGGGCUAGGCUCUGGGAUUCAAGAUGGAGGCGCUGAGUCGAGCUGGGCAGGAGAUGAGCCUAGCGGCCCUGAAGCAACACGACCCCUAUAUCACCAGCAUCGCAGACCUCACGGGCCAGGUCGCUCUGUACACCUUCUGCCCCAAGGCCAACCAGUGGGAGAAGACUGAUAUAGAAGGGACCUUAUUCGUAUAUCGAAGGUCAGCUUCCCCUUACCAUGGUUUUACCAUUGUGAAUCGACUAAAUAUGCACAAUCUAGUUGAACCAGUGAAUAAAGAUUUGGAAUUUCAGCUCCAUGAACCAUUUCUUCUGUAUAGAAAUGCAAGCUGUUGAGAAAACAAGAGGCUCAGAGCUGUUUAGGAAUCUGCUCGAGAUUCGCAAAGUGUCGAUAUAUAGUAUCUGGUUUUAUGACAAGAAUGACUGUCACCGCAUAGCAAAACUCAUGGCUGAUGUGGUAGAAGAGGAGACACGGCGAUCCCAGCAAGCUGCUCGGGACAAACAGAGUCCCAGCCAGGCCAAUGGCUGCAGCGACCACAGGCCCAUCGACAUCCUGGAGAUGCUGAGCAGAGCCAAGGAUGAGUAUGAGAGGAAUCAGAUGGGUGACUCAAAUAUCUCCAGCCCUG
rnacentral:lncRNA from 1 species